rnacentral:rRNA from 1 species
AACGAACGCUGGCGGCGUGGAUAAGACAUGCAAGUCGAACGGGACUUUUUUCUGUAGCAAUACAGAGAAAAGUCUAGUGGCGAACGGGUGCGUAACACGUGAGCAACCUGCCGUGAAGUGGGGGAUAGCUCGCCGAAAGGCGAAUUAAUACCGCAUGUGGCCAAGGAAGACAUCUUCCUGACGCCAAAGCCGGGGCAACCUGGCGCUUCUCGAGGGGCUCGCGGCCUAUCAGUUUGUUGGUGAGGGAACGGCUCACCAAGGCUAUGACGGGUAGCUGGGCUGAGAGGACGACCAGCCACACUGGAACUGAGACACGGUCCAGACACCUACGGGUGGCAGCAGUCGAGAAUUUUUCACAAUGGGGGAAACCCUGAUGGAGCGACGCCGCGUGGAGGAUGAAGGUUUUCGGAUUGUAGACUCCUGUCAUUAGAGAACAAGGCACACGGUUUAACUGGCCGUGUGUUGAUAGUAUCUGAAGAGGAAGAGACGGCUAACUCUGUGCCAGCCGCCGCCGUAA